rnacentral:rRNA from 1 species
AAACCAGCACCUCAAGUGGUCAGGAUGAUUAUUGGGCCUAAAGCAUCCGUAGCCGGCUCUGUAAGUUUUCGGUUAAAUCUGUACGCUCAACGUACAGGCUGCCGGAAAUACUGCAGGGCUAGGGAGUGGGAGAGGUAGACGGUACUCGGGAGGAAGGGGUAAAAUCCUUUGAUCUCUCGAUGACCACCUGUGGCGAAGGCGGUCUACCAGAACACGUCCGACGGUGAGGGAUGAAAGCUGGGGGAGCAAACCGGAUUAGAAACCCCGGUAGUCC